rnacentral:rRNA from 1 species
AUUGAACGCUGGCGGCAUGCCUUACACAUGCAAGUCGAACGGCAGCGGGCCCUUCGGGGUGCCGGCGAGUGGCGAACGGGUGAGUAAUGCAUCGGAACGUACCCGGGAGAGGGGGAUAACCGGCCGAAAGGCUGGCUAAUACCGCAUGAACUCGGAAGAGCAAAGCGGGGGACCUUCGGGCCUCGCGCUCUCGGAGCGGCCGAUGUCCGAUUAGGCUAGUUGGUGGGGUAAAGGCCCACCAAGGCGACGAUCGGUAGCGGGUCUGAGAGGACGAUCCGCCACACUGGGACUGAGACACGGCCCAGACUCCUACGGGAGGCAGCAGUGGGGAAUCUUGGACAAUGGGCGCAAGCCUGAUCCAGCAAUGCCGCGUGGGUGAAGAAGACCUUCGGGUUGUAAAGCCCUUUCGGCGGGGAAGAAAUCGGUCAGGCGAAUAGUCUGGCCGGAUGACGGUACCCGCAGAAGAAGCACCGGCUAACUACGUG